rnacentral:lncRNA from 1 species
ACUAUAGAAAAUAUGUUUUUUAUUCCAUAGCAUCAUGAAUACAAUCCGAUGGAUACCCGAUCCAAGUUUUAUAUAACAUGUCCAUUAGCCAAGCAUCUCACCCACACCACCAUGUACUCCUCCCUUGAUUGCAUGCAUUCGUUUACCUCCUUAGCGAUAGGGCCAUAGAUUGAUCUAUCAAUAUCUCAGUUUCUUAACUUAGAAGUCGCUAUCUUUUGUGUCUAUCUCCAGGAUAAGUUUUGCCACUUCUAAUUUACGUGUAAGCUGAGCAACCCAUCGACAUGCCACGAGUUCAGCCAAUUCAGGGCCCAUGGUGAAGGAGAAAAAUGGCAUGUGCCCCC